UACGGGAGGCAGCAGUGGGGAAUAUUGCACAAUGGGCGCAAGCCUGAUGCAGCCAUGCCGCGUGUAUGAAGAAGGCCUUCGGGUUGUAAAGUACUUUCAGUCGUGAGGAAGGUGUUAAGGUUAAUAACCUUAGCAAUUGACGUUAGCGACAGAAGAAGCACCGGCUAACUCCGUGCCAGCAGCCGCGGUAAUACGGAGGGUGCGAGCGUUAAUCGGAAUUACUGGGCGUAAAGGGCACGCAGGCGGUUAAUUAAGUUGGAUGUGAAAUCCCCGGGCUUAACCUGGGAAUGGCAUUUCAAAGACUGGUUAGCUAGAGUCUUGUAGAGGGGGUAGAAUUCCAUGUGUAGCGGUGAAAUGCGUAGAGAUGUGGAGGAAAUACCGGUGGGCGAAAGGCGGCCCCUGGGACAAAGACUGACGCUCAUGUGCGAAAGCGUGGGGAGCAAACAGGGAUUAGAUACC
rnacentral:rRNA from 1 species